CACGUAGUCAACCUGCCUUACCGUCCGGGAUAACUAGCCAAAGGUUAGCUAAUACCUGAUACGAUCGUUGAGCGGCAUCGCCCGACGAUGAAAGCAGCAAUGCGCGGUUAGAGGGGGCUGCGGCCCAUUAGCUAGUUGGUGAGGUAAUGGCCCACCAAGGCAACGAUGGGUAGCUGGUCUGAGAGGACGACCAGCCACACUGGGACUGAGACACGGCCCAG
rnacentral:rRNA from 1 species